rnacentral:rRNA from 1 species
GAUGAACGCUAGCGGCAGGCCUAACACAUGCAAGUCGAGGGGUAGAAUUAGCUUGCUAAUUUGAGACCGGCGCACGGGUGCGUAACGCGUAUGCAAUCUACCUUGUACAGGGGGAUAGCCCAGGGAAACUUGGAUUAAUACCCCAUAAAACAGGGGGCCCGCAUGGGCAUAUUGUUAAAGAUUUAUCGCUUUAAGAUGGGUGUGCGUAUGAUUAGGUAGUUGGUAGGGUAAAGGCCUACCAAGCCGACGAUCAUUAACUGGUGUGAGAGCACGACCAGUCACACGGGCACUGAGACACGGGCCCGACUCCUACGGGAGGCAGCAGUAGGGAAUAUUGGGCAAUGGGCGCAAGCCUGACCCAGCCAUGCCGCGUGCAGGAAGAAGGCGUUAUGCGUUGUAAACUGCUUUUAUACAGGAAGAAACGACCCUUGCGAGGGGCAUUGACGGUACUGUAUGAAUAAGCACCGGCUAACUCCGUGCCAGCAGCCGCAGUAACAC